rnacentral:lncRNA from 1 species
CAGCUCAUUUAGAUGUGCUCCUUUUGUUCCUUCUUUACCCGCCCCACCUCCACCUUCUCCGCCACCCGUUGUUCUGCCAUCACCUUCACCACCACCUCCAUCACCUGUGUUUACUCCGCAAUCACCACCACCACCGGUCUACUCCCCACCGCCUCCUGUUUACUCUCCACCUCCCCCUCCACCUUCACCUCCACCCCCACCACCUGUUUAUUCUCCACCUCCCCCUCCACCCUCACCUCCACCACCAAUUUAUUCACCUCCACCACCCCCGCCCUCACCUCCACCUCCUUCACCACCGCCACCUCCUCCACCAGUUUAUUCCCCACCACCUCCACCACCAUCCCCACCCCCACCAUCACCUCCCCCACCUCCGCCACCACCACCACCUACUUAUCCGUCACCCCCACCCCCUUCACCAACUUCAUCACCUCCAUAUUGCGUGAGGUCCCCACCUCCUCCGCCACCAAAUUCACCACCUCCACCACCUCCAUUGUUUUCCCCACCACCACCAGUUCCUUACUACUAUAGCUCCCCACCACCGCCCCAUUAUUCACCGCCACCACCACUACACUCUCCACCACCACCGCCACAUUCACCUCCACC